UUGAGAUAUCUUGCUCCAAAGCAAUGAGGCACUUGUGUUAACCUCCCUUAUUAUGUAUUUUAAUCCAAAUAUUUUAGGCAAAGUAAUAGAUUAUUUCUGAUUUAUGCUGAUUUAAGUUGAUGGAACCGCAUUUACGAAUUGCAAUAUAAUUCUGACCGAACCUGCGACGUUAGCUCUAUUUUGCUUUCCACAAAUGCUCGUAAACUUGCUGAGUAUUUCCAGCAUUUUCUGAUUUGUAUUUACUUGCUACUUUGAUUAUAUACAGUAGUAGAUUUAAGGAACAUACUCCAUUCAUCUGGAUGAUGCCUGGAAUGGGACCCGCUCUCGGGGUCUCAUGACUGGCUGUUAUUCGAUAUACCAAGGGCGUGGCCUGGAAGAUUAGCACGCCUUCAGAGCUUCAGGAUUUCGUGACUGUGGAGGCAGGCGGACUUUAAGUCAGUGCAUCUGCAAGAAUGCAUGCAGGAAAUAGGUGUCAUGGGAGAUGGAAGAUCUCUGGCUGUGGGCACAGAGCUCGAAUGCAAUGGACCUUUAACAUUGUAAAUCACUUGGGUGUGAUUCUGGAAUGCUUAGAGUCUGUAAUUUGCAGAUCGUUUGGGUGUUUCAGCGCUCUGCAGUCUUCAAGAGGAUUCCAGGACAGCGCGGGCAAAUCUCAUGAUGAGAAGGCUUCAGGAUGGGGCGUGAUCCAAUGUUCGACCCCAUUUCACCAAUUAAAGCAACGUGGGAGAUUGAAACAUAGAGAUGAACACAAAAGUUGAGUGCCUUUUGAUCGCUAGUGGGAUCGCUCUGCUGCACGAACGGAGAUCACUCUGCUACAGGAGAGGGGAGACUGCCGUUUGAUCACUGGUGAGAUUGCUCUGAUGCCAGAGAAGGAAAGGCCUCCCACUGUGCCCAGAGAAUGAUACCCAGGUUUUCUGCAUUUUGAAUAUGGACUUGGACCAUAGACCUUUUUUCAGUCUUAACGUUUUUUUAUAUUUUGUGUUUUUCACCUGAUCUCUCAUUUUUUAAUGUGCAGUGAGGGGGAUUUAGGGGUCGAUGUACCUGUUCCAAUUUUUUGUAUGGAGAGGAGGGAUUUGGAGGUUGAUGAUGGUGCUGCCAUUCUCUUCUUUCUUGGUUUCAUGGCAAUCUGGAGAAGAAGAAUUUCAGAGUUGUAUAAUUGUAGAAUGAAUGAACCUCUGAACAUUUAUCAUCAUACAUUUAUUUCUUUUAAAAGGGAAGGCAGUGUAGUAUACGUAUGCACCAAAUGAUGUGACCUCCACUAUAUCAGCCCUGCAAGUAGUAGAAUGCCAUUCACCUUUAAGAAAGGAUGUUACAUUAGAAAUUUCAAUUUUAUUACUUGCCUUACUGAAUGGCUGUAUAGAAGAAAUCAUAAACAUUACAGUAAAAAAAACAGAAAAAGCUAGAAACCAUGGGUGAAUGCUUGAUCAACAAAGUAUAUCUUAAGGACAAGAGUUUCUGCAGAUGCUGGAAAUCUUGAGCAAAGUAAAAAGUGUUGGAGGAACUCAGCAAGUCAGGCAGAAUCAAUGGAGGAGAAUAAACAGUCGACAUGUUGGGCCUGGACCGGAGGAAGGGUCUCAGCUUGAAACGUCAACUGUUUAUUUCCCUCCAUGGAUGUUGCCUGACUUGCUGAGUUCCUCCAGCACUCUAUGUGUAUAUUUUAAGGAAACUCUGAAAGUGUGAGAAAGAGAUGGAGGUGUAAUUGGUGAAUGAAAGGAGCCUACAACAUAGAACAUAUUUCUAUAAGCUUGGUUGCAGCAAUGGGGUGUAGAAAGUGAAGAGGCUUAAGACAUCAGUGUUCCCGUUUUUAAAAGCUAGCAAAGUUAGUGAUGGGGUGGCCAUGUAAAGUUUGAUUGUAUGGAUAACAAUUUUUAAAGUCAAAAUAUCGAUGGUCAGAAACCAAGCUAUGCCAAUGGUUAAAGUGUGAAGUGAUCAUGACAGCUACAAGGUUGCAGUGUUUGGAUGAACCCAAGCUGAGAGAGGAAUCAAAACAGGAAGCCAGACACCUGAACGUUGGAAUAUCAUUUCUGAGGUAACCAGGUAAUUGUUUUAGCCAAAGAUCUACUGUAACAAAGGGAAAAUGUGGUUUGUUUAUAGUGAUGCUAAUACACUAGUGAUAUGUGAACAUGGAGUUAAUUUUUAUCCCAUAUGUUAGAAUCAAUAAGUACUAUUCAGUCAGCAUUGUGUCCUAAUAUAUUGUACACAUUUUCAAGUUCUUUGAUCUAAUAAACUAUUCUAUCUGG